UACGUAGGGUGCGAGCGUUAAUCGGAAUUACUGGGCGUAAAGCGUGCGCAGGCGGUUGUUUAAGACAGAGGUGAAAUCCCCGGGCUUAACCUGGGAAUGGCCUUUGUGACUGCACGGCUAGAGUGUGUCAGAGGGGGGUAGAAUUCCACGUGUAGCAGUGAAAUGCGUAGAGAUGUGGAGGAAUACCGAUGGCGAAGGCAGCCCCCUGGGAUAACACUGACGCUCAUGCACGAAAGCGUGGGGAGCAAACAGG
rnacentral:rRNA from 1 species